CCUACGGGUGGCAGCAGUGGGGAAUAUUGGACAAUGGGGGCAACCCUGAUCCAGCCAUGCCGCGUGUGUGAAGAAGGCCCUCGGGUUGUAAAGCACUUUCAGUGAGGAAGAACGCCUGGUGGUUAAUACCCAUCAGGAAAGACAUCACUCACAGAAGAAGCACCGGCUAACUCCGUGCCAGCAGCCGCGGUAAUACGGAGGGUGCGAGCGUUAAUCGGAAUUACUGGGCGUAAAGCGCGCGUAGGUGGCUUGAUAAGCCGGUUGUGAAAGCCCCGGGCUCAACCUGGGAACGGCAUCCGGAACUGUCAAGCUAGAGUGCAGGAGAGGAAGGUAGAAUUCCCGGUGUAGCGGUGAAAUGCGUAGAGAUCGGGAGGAAUACCAGUGGCGAAGGCGGCCUUCUGGACUGACACUGACACUGAGGUGCGAAAGCGUGGGUAGCAAACAGGAUUAGAUACCCCGUAGUC
rnacentral:rRNA from 1 species